rnacentral:rRNA from 1 species
CACCGCCCGUCACACCAUGGGAGUGGGUUUCACCAGAAGCAGUUAGCCUAACCGCAAGGAGGGCGAUUGCCACGGUGAGAUUCAUGACUGGGGGUG